UUCUUCUGAAUUUUCCUUAGCUUACUUUGUAUUCUUUUUUUGUCAGUCAUCUCUAGUACACGAGGCCACUAAGCAACCAUCAACAACUUUUGGGGAGCCAAUAAUCCCUGAGAUCCCUAUGGUCUCAAAAGUGAUUAGCUUGCGUCUCCUUAGGCUAAUUCUCGGGCCAGUCUACCUGCCUCUACCAAGGCAAGUGCGACAACAGAGGUGCCCCAUUUCACUACUCAAGGACCAACUUAGGCUUCCGGCGAAGGCUCGGGCAAGUCUCUUCGGCCUGUGGCAUGCAAAGUGGUAUUUCCUAGGCCUCUCAAGGCUUCUAAAGUUAUAAGAAUCCCUAUCCCUCGGCCGAAGAAGACUGCAGCUGCUGCCACAUUUACCUCUGGUCUUCCCCCUUCCUCCUAACUGAAGCUGCCUCUACCGCUGCUGCCUCUCGGGGUGCUGGAGUGAUAUCUCUUUCCCUUGCCUCCAUUCUAGCCAUGGCCUCAAUUCUCGAACUUGUUAGAGAGUUUGGGCAUAUAAAGACCAAGCUGAGGUCUCCAAGGUGCCUUUCUGAGCUCUAACUUCUCCAAAAUUCACGCUAAGUCUUUAAGGAGUAGAUGCAAAGGGACUUCACUGCCUCUUUUAGCCUCAAGGUUCUCCAAGAUGCAGAGAAAGCACUUACUAAGCUGUACCAAGUGCAGCAAAUGUCCAAGGUCCAGUUUGAGUCAUUUCUCUCAUUUUUUGAGAACUUCAGAGCUCAAGGGAUCAACAUCUUUGGGCAGAGAGGCAGUUAAAUCAAGUGAAGUGUUAUAAGAAGAAGCAAACUUGGACGUCAACUUCUUUGUAGAAAUUGGUAGAUGAGGGCUUGACCAUGGAGAAUCGCAUCAUGGUGGUUGCAGUCGAGAUUCAAAAGUUGGAAGAGCAACUAUCUACUUUGAAGGCCAAUCAAAUGACCCUUUCUAGCCAACUUUAUCAAAAAAUUGAAGAAGUAAAGAAGGUUAACCAAGAAGUAGAAGACUCUGAAACCCAACUAGCCAACAACAACAUGUACUUAGAAGAACCUGGCAUGAUUUUUACAAUUAUACAAACAUAUCACUCUAUAAUAGCUACCUUGGCAAAAGAUGUAAAGUUGUUAAGCUAGGGUCUUUGUAACUUCUUCCAUUGUGAAUAAAAGAUCUCCAUUUUUCAAUUUCCAACUUGAUUUAUUCA